AGAGUUUGAUCAUGGCUCAGGACGAACGCUGGCGGCGUGCUUAAUACAUGCAAGUCAACGAGCUUUAAUUUAGCAAUAGAUCAAAGAAAGUGGCGCACGGGUGAGUAACACGUAGGUAAUCUACCUUCGGGUCUGACAUAACUCCGGGAAACCGUAGCUAAUAUCAGAUAAAGCAGCUACUCGGCAUCGAGAAAGUUGUGAAAUCCUUCGGGAGCCUGUAGAUGAGCCUGCGGUCCAUUAGGUAGUUGGUGUAAUAAAAGUGCACCAAGCCGACGAUGGAUAGCUGGUCUGAGAGGACGAUCAGUCACACUGGAACUGAGACACGGUCCAGACUCCUACGGGAGGCAGC
rnacentral:rRNA from 1 species